GCCUGGGUGGCUCAGUCGAUUGAGCAUCUGACUUCAGCUCAGGUCGUAAUCUGCAGUUCGUGGGUUCGAGCCCUGCGUCGGGCU
rnacentral:tRNA from 1 species